rnacentral:tRNA from 1 species
UGUUGGUCUAUGUAGAUUAUUUUUGA